rnacentral:rRNA from 1 species
UACGUAGGGGGCUAGCGUUGUCCGGAAUCAUUGGGCGUAAAGCGCGUGUAGGCGGUCCGGUAAGUCCGCUGUGAAAGUCGAGGGCUCAACCCUCGAAUGCCGGUGGAUACUGUCGGGCUAGAGUGCGGAAGAGGCGAGUGGAAUUCCUGGUGUAGCGGUGAAAUGCGCAGAUAUCGGGAGGAACACCGGUGGCGAAGGCGGCGACCUGGGUAGAUACUGACGCUGAGGUGCGAAAGCGUGGGGAGCAAACAGG